AUUGAACGCUGGCGGCAGGCCUAACACAAGCAAGUCGAACGGUAGCACAGAGAGCUUGCUCUCGGGUGACGAGUGGCGGACGGGUGAGUAAUGUCUGGGAAACUGCCCGAUGGAGGGGGAUAACUACUGGAAACGGUAGCUAAUACCGCAUAACGUCGCAAGAUCAAAGUGGGGGACCUUCGGGCCUCACACCAUCGGAUGGGCCCAGAUGGGAUUAGCUAGUAGGUGGGGUAAUGGCUCACCUAGGCGACGACCCCUAGCUGGUCUGAGAGGAUGACCAGCCACACUGGAACUGAGACACGGUCCAGACUCCUACGGGAGGUAGCAGUGGGGAAUAUUGCACAAUGGGCGCAAGCCUGAUGCAGCCAUGCCGCGUGUAUGAAGAAGGCCUUCGGGUUGUAAAGUACUUUCAGCGGGGAGGAAGGCGGUGAAGUUAAUAACUUCACCGAUUGACGUUACCCGCAGAAGAAGCACCGGCUAACUCCGUGCCAGCCGCCGCGGUAA
rnacentral:rRNA from 1 species